rnacentral:rRNA from 1 species
UACGUAGGGGGCAAGCGUUGUCCGGAUUUAUUGGGCGUAAAGAGCGUGUAGGCGGUCUGGUAGGUCCGUUGUGAAAACUCGAGGCUCAACCUCGAGACGCCGAUGGAAACCAUCAGACUAGAGUCCGGAAGAGGAGAGUGGAAUUCCUGGUGUAGCGGUGAAAUGCGUAGAUAUCGGGAGGAACACCUGUGGCGAAAGCGGCGCACUGGACCAUAACUGACGCUGAUGCGCGAAAGCUAGGGGAGCAAACAGG